rnacentral:tRNA from 1 species
UAGCUCAAUGGUUUAGAGCACUGGCUACUCUUCCAGAAGGCCCUGGGUUCAAUUCCCAG